AUACGUAGGUGACAAGCGUUAUCCGGAUUUACUGGGCGUAAAGGGCGUGUAGGCGGUCUUGCAAGUCAGAAGUGAAAUUCCUGAGCUCAACUCGGGCGCUGCUUCUGAAACUGCAGGACUUGAGUGCAGGAGAGGUAAGUGGAAUUCCCAGUGUAGCGGUGAAAUGCGUAGAGAUUGGGAGGAACACCAGUGGCGAAGGCGACUUACUGGACUGUAACUGACGCUGAGGCGCGAAAGUGUGGGGAGCAAACAGGAUUAGAUACCCUGGUAGUCCACACUGUAAACGAUGAAUGCUAGGUGUAGGGGGUAUCGACCCCUUCUGUGCCGCAGUCAACACAAUAAGCAUUCCGCCUGGGGAGUACGGCCGCAAGGUUGAAACUCAAAUGAAUUGGCGGGG
rnacentral:rRNA from 1 species